CCUACGGGAGGCAGCAGUGGGGAAUAUUGCACAAUGGGCGGAAGCCUGAUGCAGCGACGCCGCGUGAGGGAUGAAGGCCUUCGGGUUGUAAACCUCUUUCAGCAGGGACGAAGCGUGAGUGACGGUACCUGCAGAAGAAGCACCGGCUAACUACGUGCCAGCAGCCGCGGUAAUACGUAGGGUGCGAGCGUUGUCCGGAAUUACUGGGCGUAAAGAGUUCGUAGGCGGUUUGUCGCGUCGUUUGUGAAAACCCGGGGCUCAACUUCGGGCUUGCAGGCGAUACGGGCAGACUUGAGUGUUUCAGGGGAGACUGGAAUUCCUGGUGUAGCGGUGAAAUGCGCAGAUAUCAGGAGGAACACCGGUGGCGAAGGCGGGUCUCUGGGAAACAACUGACGCUGAGGAACGAAAGCGUGGGUAGCAAACAGGAUUAGAUACCCUGGUAGUCCACGCCGUAAACGGUGGGCGCUAGGUGUGGGUUCCUUCCACGGGAUCUGUGCCGUAGCUAACGCAUUAAGCGCCCCGCCUGGGGAGUACGGCCGCAAGGCUAAAACUCAAAGGAUUGACGG
rnacentral:rRNA from 1 species